ACAAAAUACAGUUUAAUUGCAUUCAAACAUUGUUCACGAAUGGGAAACUCUAACAAACUUACCAUUGAACUCCGAGAUUCUCCAAAAACGUAUAACAAUGAGGACUGGCUCAUAGUUAUAAGUCACAUAAGCUAUUUUCUUAAACUAGUUCGUGACGAAAAACUGACAGGAGUUACCAUUUACAACACAGGUUGUAACCUUUCCCCUUCAACCACAAAAUCAUAAGACAUUUUAUAAAUAAUGAUGUUUUAUUCCAAAAAGUGAUGUCAAAAGACACAUAUCUUGCCUCAUAGUUAGUCUCUCGGUGACGGCAUACAAAUGGAAACCUUCGAAUAGGAGAUACGUUUGAAAUCACAUCAACAACAUUUGUUUUAAAUCAAUUAGUCCUAACUUAAUAUGUUUCU
rnacentral:sRNA from 1 species